CACCUCUCCUCCCUUCCUUCCUCCCGCCCGCUGCCUCCCUCUCUCUGUCCCCGAUCUAGAUCGGCCUCUCCCUCACCCCUCGCAUCGCGCCCUCCUUCCCUCGCGCUGGCACCGGCGGCGCCCUCCUUCCUUUCUGUCACCGGCGGCGCCCCCCUUCCCUCGCGCUGCACCAGAACCUCGCUCCCGCUCCCAGCUCUUCUUCCUCCUCCGCUGCAGCUAGGGUUUCGUCUCCCCGAUCCCCAAUCCCCGAAGCUCGGAUCCAGCAGCAGCAUCAGCGAUGGCGGCCGCGGGAGAUCCUCUCCAAGGUCAAGCACGUCCAGGCCAAGCCUGCUGGCCGCCCUCGCGAGUGACUGCCUCCGCAGUGACGAGGGCGGCCUCGUUGUCCCCGGAGGCCGCGGCGCCCCUCAGGGCCGACCUCCGCCACAUGAGUGAUCCGUCGAUCUCGUCUCUCCAACAGUGUUCCGGAUGCACGCACGAGUUUGACCUGGACAAGCCGCCGGUGCUGCAGGAGGUGGCGGAUUUCUUCAGUGGCCAUGGAAUCGAGGACUUCACCUUCAGCAGGGGUAGGCUGUGAGAAUGGCGUUGCCGGGCAAAGCUAGCGGUACGCGGAACCCCAGAGAAACCACUGAUUGGCCUGUAUCAGGAAGGGAUACAUACUGUUCAAGAUAUUCCCGGUUGCAGAGGUAGGACAGGAGGAACAGCGACAAGAGACGGGAUGAAGCCCGGCCAAGGAAACCCACCGCAGCCUUCAAGACCUUGACGGCAGUCGGUGCUAUGGGGAUCCUGAUCAACAUGCAGUUCCCGGGGCCGCAGAUCGACGCCGUCACCAACGACAACAUCGUCAUCAACGUCUUCAACAACCUGAUCUGAUAUUGUUCUGAGAUCCAGUGGCAUCUCUAUCCUCUUACAACUAAUAACAUUUUUUAACCUCUUUUGGCCGCACUUUCGCUUUCACUACAAAUCAGAUCAGUGGUGAACGAAAGAAACAAGUGCACAACUAGUAUCAGUGGGCUUGUAUUUUUCUUGUGUAGCUGCUCUGCACUUGUUGUAGAGCAUAGCUUGCAUCAGUAUUUUUACCUAUUUUUGACCUCUCAUUCUGAAAUACAUCUAGCAGGUGCGGCUAGUACUCUAUUAUUCUCCUACAUAUAGCUCUAUAUAUGCAUCUAAAAGGGCAAGUACUUGGAUGACCUUGACAACAUCAUACUGAUUGUAAUAACUUUGCAUAAGACUCUGUAUUCGAAGACUUCUCGCAAUUUAUCAUGCAAUUCUAAACAAUAGCAUACGUCUAUCUACCCUGCUGGGAAUUUUCACUUUAUAUAAAAAUUUGAGAGGCAAAUGCUGGGAGUUCCAGUCUUGUCUGAUGGCUAGGAACUCAACUCUGCUUCUUGUUGUUGGAGUUUCAGGCUUGUUGCAUAGUUCGUAGGUUCAAGUGUACUCUGGCUUCCAGCCAUAGUGCACUACAAAUUAUUAUAGAAUUACAAAGUGUACACAACAUUGCACCUUACACAUUCUUCUCUUGUGAAAUCAAAUGCCAUGACUGGGCAUUCUUUUAUCAACUUGCUGUACACUUGCUCUGCUUUAGGCUACUGUAUAACUUGUGCCUUUUAACUUGAUGUACAUAGCAUGCAAUUUUUUACUGUAUAUCACAUUCACACAUGAUACUCUUAAUAUAGAGUUGUUUUCCGAGCUAGUUCUGUUUACUCUUAAUAUAGGUCUAUUUGUCACCAAUACUUGCCUGCUAUGCUAUAGUAGACCUUGUUCAUAUUUAUUAGCUAAGUUUGCUUGUCCUUGGUAUCUAUAUGCAUGCCAUUUGUGUUUCAGGCUUUCUCUGAAAUGAAAUAAUAGGUCUAUUAGUCACCAAUACUUGAGUGAAUCUAACUCCUUACCUGCUAUGCUAUAGUAGGCCUUGUUCAUAUUUAUUAGCGAAGUUUGCUUGUCCACAGUGAUCCAUAUACAUGCCAUUUGUUUUUAACGCUCUGAAAUGAAAUAAUAAGAUUCACACUCCAUGGACCAGGAACGACCACCGGGACCUCCACGGUGAUGAUGAAGCCUGCACAUGGUCGAGCUCGAUGGAACAACAGUGCCUCAGUGUGGUGCAGCCGAGUUGGGCCACUCCAGUGCAUCAGGAACUCUGCAUGCUGCUGUCCUUUGUCUCAUCAUCUUAACUACUACAGUAGUAGGAGUAUUUUAUAUGCUGUUCUUUUCUUGGCCACCCAGCAUGUUUGCUAAUCAUCCAUCUGCCUCAUGUUAUAUGAUCCCUACCUAGUAACUUCAUUGUAUGCAGACUUGUGGUGUUGGUUCAGUUUAGUCAAAUUAAUAUAUAUACUGCUAUGCUACUACUACUACUACUACUACUACUGUCUGCAUUUAAUCCUGAUUAGUAGCUUCAUCAAUAAGUGGCAAACAAAACAAUGUCGAUUUUCAUCUUAUCUCUAUGACAACCAAUGGAGUUGAAUUGCAGCAUCCAUGUCAAAGCUGGGUUCAAUUCUUGGGCAAUAUAUGGUAGUUUCCACUCUUCACGCCCAAGAUUAGUAUGCUGCAGCUCUCCCUCCUCACUCCAUACAUCCAGGUACUAGUUACCCAACGAGCAGCCCUGCACCUCGCUGGAUCUCGCGCAAACCCCGCUCAUCUUGCUGCUUGUGCCAGGGAAUACUCUCUGUUGAGUAUUUUGAGGAAUGAAUAUCUGUUAAGUAUGGAGUUAGGAUUAUCUAAUAAAAUUUCUGCUAUAUAUAUAUGCAUGAAACUGAGAUUGCUAGCAUCAUUUACACAAGAUACACCCUUUGAAUUGAAUUGAUUGGUUUAGUUUCAUAUAUUCUUCACCCAACCUUCUAUCAUGCUUGUAACUAGUGCUCUUCUCAAGUUGUUAGACAGGAUUUUCACUUCCUGCCAUCCCAACCUUCUAUCAUGCUUACAAGAUUUUUCUUUGCACGAUAGUAGCACCAGUACCUUGCUGCUGUUGGGAACGGAAGGGAGCUGUUCCAUGCACUGAAUCUGGGGAGAAAAUCACCUUCAGCAUGUACACCAUCACCUUGGGCAUGCUUGUGGCGCGGCUGCUCGGCCUCAACAUGUCCUGGAGUGCCAUUAGCGCCGCCCUCACGCUCAUCUUCCUCGACUUCAAGGACGCUCGCCCCUGCCUCGAGAAGCUAAAAAGAGUGGAAUUCUCAGCCGACUAUACAAAAAUGGGGAAUAUCUGAUCUUGAUGUGGAUAAUAAAGUUUGCAUUAAUGUGCACUCCUCACAACAGUACAGAUAAUCAAGUCUCCCUCAGUGUGCACUCAUCACUCAUCGUAGCAGAAAUGAUCAAAUUAGCAAGGAGAUAAACUGUGUGCAAGAUCGACAGUAUAUUAUCAGUCAAAGUUAUGGUUCAGAUGCAAGGUUUGAUUCUGCCAUGAGAUGAUUAUGAAACAUGAUAUACCUGGAAGAAAGCGAGAAUGUGCCAUGUAUUCAAUACUCAGAAAGGAGGAUAGUCCAGCAAACCCCGUUUCAUGCAAGUAAUCAACAACAAAAAUAUUAAGAUGGUAUAUGUAUGUGGUAAUCGGUCUGCAUAUCACAAUGAGAAGCUUCCGGUGUAAGCAACCCAGUCUUCCCUCGCAAGCUACCAGAGAAGCUUCCAAGGCAAGAUUCAUCUAUCUUCCUCAGUACGAUACCUGGAUGACUUCCCGUGCAAAAUACUCAGGCUUCUUCAGUAAGCAACCACAAAAGCUUCCGGCAUAAGGUACCGAGUCCUUCCCCAGCAAGUCUUUAAGGGGGGAAGCUUCUGAAGCAGGAUACGCAGUCUUCCUCAGCAAGAUACUCUCGAUGGUUUCCAGCAAAAGCCAUCCAAUCCUCCUCAGUACGGCAUUGGUGUAAAAGAUUACAGUGUGAACUGACAGCUUAUGGCAGUGCAUCCCAAUAAUCAGAUCCGCAACAGUUUGGUCGGAAGCAAGAAUCAGUCAUAACAUAAGUCAGCCUCAGAAAUCAGAUUCUCACAUAUAUAUGCGGUCAGCAUAUCACCAGGGUAUUGCAAGUCACUCGAACGCAGAUCUAACAACCAUGUGAGGAUUGUUAAGAUAAGAAAGCCAAUAUACACCGCAGUGUGACAAAGGAUUAUGAAGAUUGACGACAUCAGCGAGCUCAGUACAAGUACCUGUGAACUUGGAAUAUGAUCCUGAUGAGACCUUGUCUUCUUUCUCCAGUAACGACACCAUGCCUGUGAUCUGAGCUCUUUUUGGCCCUUCGGGGUGGAUGCCGAUUUUAUUUUCUCUAUUCAACAACUGUCACGAGUUCUAAGCUGCUUUCCGGCCGUCUCUUAUAGCUGUUGAGUUUCUUUUUGUGAUAGUGGCCCUUUGCUUUGAGCAGUUUUUUGGCCGUCUUAGGGAACCGCCACUUUCUUUUUAUCAACACGGUCUCAUGCUCUGAGCUGAUUUUCGGCCAUCUUGAGCCGUGGUUGAGUUAUUUCAGUAAUGUCCCAGAUCUGAGUUGUAACGACCGUUCUAGUGGCUACUAAUUUAUUUGCUGAUUUCUUGCAAGGGUUCGGAUGAUCA